UGGAGAGUUUGAUCCUGGCUCAGAGUGAACGCUGGCGGCGUGCCUAACACAUGCAAGUCGAACGAUGAUAGAGAGCUUGCUCUCUUGAUUAGUGGCGCACGGGUGAGUAUACCAUAGAUAAUGUACCUCUUAGUUCGGGAUAGCCACUGGAAACGGUGAUUAAUACCGGAUACUCCUUCUUACUCUAAGGUAAGUCGGGAAAGUUUUUUCGCUAAGAGAUCAGUCUAUGUCCUAUCAGCUAGUUGGUGAGGUAAUGGCUCACCAAGGCUAUGACGGGUAUCUGGUUUGAGAGGAUGAUCAGACACACUGGAACUGAGACACGGUCCAGACUCCUACGGGAGGCAGCAGUGAGGAAUAUUGCACAAUGGAGGAAACUCUGAUGCAGCAACGCCGCGUGGAGGAUGACGCAUUUCGGUGUGUAAACUCCUUUUAAGAGGGAAGAUAAUGACGGUACCUCUUGAAUAAGCUCCGGCUAACUCC
rnacentral:rRNA from 1 species